UGCUUGACGACCAUAGAGCGUUGGAACCACCUGAUCCCAUCCCGAACUCAGUAGUGAAACGACGCAUCGCCGAUGGUAGCUGUGGGGUCUCCCCAUGUGAGAGUAGGUCAUCGUCAAGCUC
rnacentral:rRNA from 1 species